GGGGAUUUAGCUUAGUGGCAUAAGCGCCUGUCUUGCAAGCAGGCAGUUGCGAGUUCGAUCCCCG
rnacentral:tRNA from 1 species